UACGGGAGGCAGCAGUGGGGAAUAUUGCACAAUGGGCGCAAGCCUGAUGCAGCCAUGCCGCGUGUAUGAAGAAGGCCUUCGGGUUGUAAAGUACUUUCAGUCGUGAGGAAGGUGUUAAGGUUAAUAACCUUAGCAAUUGACGUUAGCGACAGAAGAAGCACCGGCUAACUCCGUGCCAGCAGCCGCGGUAAUACGGAGGGUGCGAGCGUUAAUCGGAAUUACUGGGCGUAAAGGGCACGCAGGCGGUUAAUUAAGUUGGAUGUGAAAUCCCCGGGCUUAACCUGGGAAUGGCAUUCAAGACUGGUUAGCUAGAGUCUUGUAGAGGGGGUAGAAUUCCAUGUGUAGCGGUGAAAUGCGUAGAGAUGUGGAGGAAUACCGGUGGGCGAAGGCGGCCCCUGGGACAAAGGCUGACGCUCGAUGUGCGAAAGCGUGGGGAGCAAAC
rnacentral:rRNA from 1 species